ACUCCUACGGGAGGCAGCAGUGGGGGAAUAUUGGACAAUGGGCGAAAGCCUGAUCCAGCCAUGCCGCGUGUGUGAAGAAGGUCUUCGGAUUGUAAAGCACUUUAAAGUUGGGAGGAAGGGCAGUAAAUUAAUACUUUGCUGUUUUGACGUUACCGACAGAAUAAGCACCGGCUAACUCUGUGCCAGCAGCCGCGGUAAUACAGAGGGUGCAAGCGUUAAUCGGAAUUACUGGGCGUAAAGCGCGCGUAGGUGGUUUGUUAAAGUUGGAUGUGAAAUCCCCGGGGCUCAACCUGGGGAACUGCAUUCAAAACUGACUGACUAGAGUAUGGUAGAGGGUGGUGGAAUUUCCUGUGUAGCGGUGAAAUGCGUAGAUAUAGGAAGGAAACACCAGUGGCGAAGGCGACCACCUGGACUAAUACUGACACUGAGGUGCGAAAGCGUGGGGAAGCAAACAGGAUUAGAUACCCCUGGGUAGACUGUCA
rnacentral:rRNA from 1 species